CACCUGGAGUCCGGGCCACACAGGAGCAUGCCAGAUAGAGCUGGGCUCCUAUGGCUGCCAGGAUUUGGAGGCUGGGAAGAACAUGGCAUCUCUGGUCCUCUCUGCAGUCUGAGGACAGCUGGUCUAGUCUCUUGGAGAGAUGGGGCUGGUCACAUUUCUGGGAGCUGGAGCAAAAGCCAAGGUGGUGAUGAGAUGUGAAGAGGGUGCAAAUGGACAGAAAGUCCAUACAUUCCAUUGAGGAAACUUGUGGACCAAGAAAUGCUGAACCAGUUGAGGUCUGGAGUCAGAACAAGAGGCUACUGAUAAGGACACUUCGUGGCUGAGUCAAAUGAUAGCAAUAAGGACUCUAAAGCCUGGAGAAGCAGAUGUCAUUGCCUCCUGCUGAUGGAAAGAGUGACAGACUUUAUUUUCUUGGGCUCCAAAAUCACUGCAGGUGGUGACUACAGCCAUGAAAUUAAAAGACGCUUGCUCCUUGGAAGAAAAGCUAUGACAAAUCUAGAUAGCAUGUAAAAAAGCAGACACAUUACUUUGCCAACAAAGUUCCAUAUAGUCAAAGCUAUGGUUUUUCUGGUAGUCAAGUAUGGAUGUGAAAGUUGGACCAUAAGAAUUGAUCUUAAAGCACAUAAAGAGUGUUUUUGAACUGUGGUGUUGGAGAAGACUCUUGAGAGUCCUUUGAACUACAAGGAGAUCAAACCAAUCAAUCCUAAAGGAAAUCAGUCCUAAAUAUUCACUGGAAGGACUGAUGUUGAAGU